rnacentral:misc_RNA from 1 species
AAUCAAACAACAAAAAUCACCGGAUGUUGGUGUAUUUAUCUGUAAUUUAAAUGGGGUUGCGUCGUCGCCGGCGUUUGUAUUCUUUACCCGUUUCGCCAUUAGUCUUGUUUGGAGUUGUGUUGAUUGUUCUGUGUUCUUCGUUUGUAAAUGGAAAUUCGAAUUCCACGCAAAUACCUAUUACUCCCAUCAAUCACGAUCUCUAUCAUACAAGGGGAGCUUUGUUGGAAGAGAUAGAAUCAUUGGUCCAUAGACACCCAAGCAAGCUCUCUAUGGAGACAUUUUCCACUCAAAACAAAGGGUAUCAUGCAGAGACGACUGUAGUUACUUAUUGCCGGAACAAGAAAGACUGCGAUGACAGGUCAAAGCUUAAGAUCCUUCUUAGUUUUGGGCAGCA